AUACGGAGGGUGCAAGCGUUAAUCGGAAUUACUGGGCGUAAAGCGCUCGUAGGCGGGUUGUCAAGUCAGAUGUGAAAUCCUACAGCUUAACUGUAGAACUGCAUUUGAAACUGGCAACCUAGAGUAUGGGAGGGGGAGAUGGAAUUAGUGGUGUAGGGGUAAAAUCCGUAGAUAUCACUAGGAAUACCGAAAGCGAAGGCGAUCUCCUGGAACAUAACUGACGCUAAGGCGUGAAAGCGUGGGGAGCAAACGGGAUUAGAAACCCGAGUAGUCC
rnacentral:rRNA from 1 species